rnacentral:tRNA from 1 species
GUGGUUAAGGCAGCGGCUUGUGGCGCCGCUAUUCGGGGGUUCGAAUCCCCUCGCUCGCC